rnacentral:rRNA from 1 species
UGGGGAAUAUUGCACAAUGGGCGCAAGCCUGGUGCAGCCAUGCCGCGUGUAUGAAGAAGGCCUUCGGGUUGUAAAGUACUUUCAGUCGGGAGGAAGGUGUCAAGGUUAAUAACCUUGGCAAUUGACGUUACCGACAGAAGAAGCACCGGCUAACUCCGUGCCAGCAGCCGCGGUAAUACGGAGGGUGCAAGCGUUAAUCGGAAUUACUGGGCGUAAAGCGCACGCAGGCGGUUGAUUGAGUCAGAUGUGAAAUCCCCGGGCUUAACCCGGGAAUUGCAUCUGAUACUGGUCAGCUAGAGUCUUGUAGAGGGGGGUAGAAUUCCAUGUGUAGCGGUGAAAUGCGUAGAGAUGUGGAGGAAUACCGGUGGCGAAGGCGGCCCCCUGGACAAAGACUGACGCUCAGGUGCGAAAGCGGGGGGAGCAAACAGG